AACCAGCACCUCAAGUGGUCAGGAUGAUUAUUGGGCCUAAAGCAUCCGUAGCCUGUUCUGUAAGUUUUCGGUUAAAUCUAUGCGCUCAACGUAUAGGCUGCCGAAAAUACUGCAGAACUAGGGAGUGGGAGAGGUAGACGGUACUCGGUAGGAAGGGGUAAAAUCCUUUGAUCUAUUGAUGACCACCUGUUGCGAAGGCGCCACACUAGAACGGAUCCGACGGUCAGGGACGAAGCCUAGGGGCACGAACCGG
rnacentral:rRNA from 1 species